rnacentral:rRNA from 1 species
GCCAUGCGAGUUGAAUGGGAAACCUAAAAAUCCCAUGGCAAACUGCUCAGUAACACAUGAUCAACUUACCCUAUAGAGGAAAAUAACCUCGGGAAACUGAGGAUAAUGUUCCAUAGUUGAAUCGGCUUGGAAAAGUUUUUCAAUUAAAGGGAUAAGGAAAAUGGUUCUUAUCUGCUAUAGGAUAGGAUCGUGCUCGAUUAUGGUUGUUGGUGAGGUAAAGGCUCACCAAGCCGAUAAUCGAUAGGGGCCGUGAGAGCGGGAGCCCCGAGAUGGGUACUGAGACAACGACCCAGGCCUUACGAGGCGCAGCAGGCGCGAAACCUCCGCAAUACACGAAAGUGUGACGGGGUUACCCAAAGUGUUCUAUUUAGAACUGUGGUAGGUGAGUAAUGUUCCCUACUAGAAAGGAGAGGGCAAGGCUGGUGCCAGCCGCCGCGGUAAAACCAGCUCUUCAAGUGGUCGGGAUAAUAUUGGGCUUAAAGUGUCCGUAGCCGGUUUAGUAAGUUCCUGGUAAAAUCGGGUAGCUUAACUAUCUAUAUGCUAGGAAUACUGCUAUACUAGAGGGCGGGAGAGGUCUGAGGUACUACAGGGGUAGGGGUGAAAUCUUAUAAUCCUUGUAGGACCACCAGUGGCGAAGGCGUCAGACUGGAACGCGCCUGACAGUGAGGGACGAAAGCCAGGGGAGCGAACCGGAUUAGAUACCCGGGUAGUCCUGGCCGUAAACGAUGCAUACUAGGUGAUGGUACGGCCAUGAGCCGUAUCAGUGCCGUAGGGAAACCGUUAAGUGUGCCGCCUGGGAAGUACGGUCGCAAGGCUAAAACUU